rnacentral:rRNA from 1 species
CGAAGGUGGCAAGCGUUGUUCGGAUUUACUGGGCGUACAGGGAGCGUAGGCGGUUCGGUAAGCCCUCCGUGAAAUCUCCAGGCUCAACCUGGAAAGUGCAGAGGGGACUGCCGGGCUAGAGGAUGGGAGAGGAGCGCGGAAUUCCCGGUGUAGCGGUGAAAUGCGUAGAGAUCGGGAGGAAGGCCGGUGGCGAAGGCGGCGCUCUGGAACAUUUCUGACGCUGAGGCUCGAAAGCGUGGGGAGCAAACAGGAUUAGAUACCCUGGUAGUCCACGCCUUAAACGAUGGAUACUAAGUGUCGGCGGGUUACCGCCGGUGCCGCAGCUAACGCAGUAAGUAUCCCGCCUGGGAAGUACGGCCGCAAGGUUG